CUGGUGAGGAAAGGAAGCAUUCCCUCCAAAAUUGCCUCCACUCUCGUUUUCCCUCCAACUUCCUCUAAACCCUAGUCUCCCUCUCUCUCUCUCUCUCAUACUGAUCAUCGACGCAGACCAUUGAGUCCUCCGGUUCUCGGCCGUGAGCCCAAUCCGAUGAAGUUGACGUGUUCUUGCGGUUGAAGCGGAGAAAUGACCUCGGUCGGCGACGGCAACGGCAACGGCGGAGAACCCAGUGCGCCGAUUCCCAAUGCCAAUUCCAUUCCUACUGGAACCCUGCCUUCCGAUCGCGAAUUCUCACGCUCUCCGUCCCCCGAAUCAGGUGACAUGAUGGAAGGAGAGACCUUGGACGAGCUUUAUGUAGAAAGCACAAUGCAGUUCGAUGAUACUGCCCCAUUAGAUGGUGCAUUUGAGACUCAGAUCCUAGAUACCGGUGGAGAGACCCAAUUGGUCGAUUUUGGCGGUGAAACUCAAGUAAUUGAGUGCGAAGAUGGCAUCGGGAAUGUUGAGACACAGCUCUUAUUAGAUGCAUGUGAUACUCAAAUUGCCUUUGAUAGUCAUAGUGAAGAUACUGGGGGAACUGAAGUCCUGGGUUCUGAUGAUGAGAUAUCAGAUGGUGGUUUGCACGGAAAAGGUGGUUAUUCUAGAGAUGAGAAGAAGAUGUCCUGCAGUUCUCUUAGCAAGGAUAGCGAGACCAGGGAGCAAUCCACUGCUUUAACCGAUGAACCGUGCAGUUCAGGUGCUGUCAGAAGGGGAUUUACUUCAAUUCGUGUGGCAUCUCUCCGAGCAUCUGGUUUAGCUGCUCGCAGCAUGUACCUGAACGGUGCUAGCAGUUUGUCAUGUUCUCUGCUGAGCACGAGGCAGUCUUCAGAAGAACAGGCUAGUGAUGAUAAUGGGGCAUCUUUCCGCGGUGCUUAUAUCAAAUCCGGUGAAGAAUUUGAUCAGGAAUGUGAUGCUCAGACUUCUCUUGAGAUUUCGAAGAUGGAACAUGGGAAGAAGUGCAAAAUAGGGAGUGGUGCUGUUAGAAGACUCUUUGCAGAGGAUGUUGUUGACAACAUGCCUGAUGAGACAUCUGACUUGAAGGAAGUUCCUCUUGGAAAUGAUCAACUUGCUGGAUUAAGCUAUGUAGAAUCUCAAGAACCAGGAGAUCUUUCACAGGCAAAUGCACUUGAUUUUGUUGACAGGUUUCUGAAGGACAAUGUUGAGCAACUUCAUGAAGAGCUUGACUUUGGAAAGACUGUUGGAAGAAAACCAUUAUCAAUCACGAGUGCAAAAGGGCCACAGAAUUUGGCCAAGAGUGCAAGUAGAAUAACUGUAAGAGCUGAGGUUUUUGACUGGGAUGAUGGACGCGAGGAUGAGGGUGGUGGAGAUAUUUUCUGCAGGCGGAAGGAAGAUUUCUUUGAUGGUGGGAGCAGUAAGUGCAGAUCCAUAACCUUGCCCAGGAAGCACAGAAACAGAAAACAAGAUGGUAAUGGAGAUAAGGAGGAACCAUCGAGUGCUCCCUGCACAACAACUGGCGUACUUCAUUCUGAUUCAGAAGCAAUUCUGAGAAUGGGUGGAAAAUGUCAGAUGAUGGCCAAAGAGGCUGAAAUGAAUCAUAAAAGGGAUCUUACAAGUCAGUUGGAUGAACAAUCUAAGAUAGAUUCAAGAGACGACUUGGAGGCAAUUACUGGUGAUGCUUGUGUGCCAGACAUGCCCAGUGUAGGCUUUGACACUCAACUGGCUGCAGAGGCUAUGGAAGAAUUAUGCCAGGGGGAGGCCCUUCCUAGGGAGGAUAAUUGUGAUAUCAGCAUUUCUACAAGAAAGUUGAGGAGCACAAACAGAGAUUAUAAUGAACAAAUUAAGAAGUCGGCCAUCACACUGCAGAAGCAUUCUAAGGAUAAGGAGACUUGCCACAGACCAGGAGACAAAACUCGCAAGUUGGAGAUGACUGGCCUUACUGCCAAUAGGAACAAAAAGUCGAAUAAAUUGCCUUCCAAGAACUUACAGCCUAAAAACAGGGAAUCUCUUCGAAGACGCCAAGCUGGUGAGUUUGGUAAGCAGGGUGUCACCAGAACAUCGAAUGUAGGUACUUUCGCCAGCAAGCAGCAAUUACUAGGCGAAGUUGGUUUAUUUACACCCAUUGCUAGUCGAACCAGAUCUUCCUCAGCAGUAAAUCACGUGCAAAGGACGGAAAGUUUAUUAUGUAACCACAAGAAAGCAACAGACGGUGCAGAGAAUGUUGGGGUCUGUAAAAGGAAAAGAAGCAACCGAGAAAGAAGAAGUAGCAAAAAAAGUGAAGAUGAUUCAAUGGUCAAGGCUAAAGGAAAUUCACUGGAGCAAUUCCUUGCAGUAGAAAGCAGCAAGAGGUCUGUUAGACAAAAACGGAUAAAAACUGAUGCAACAAGUAAGGGUGAUCUGGAAGUACAGUUGCCUACUCGAAAUCCUGAAGCAGGACCAGAGAAUGGCACUAGUGAGAGCACUUCGUUCAAGUUGAAUAGGGAACUGUUGGCUGAAAGGUCAAAUAUGACUGACGCGAUUCGGCAGUCUGAGACAAAAGGAGAUGUUGGUGCUACAUCAUCCACUCAGAAUAUGGAAGCAAAUGCCAUGUUAGAUCACACUCCAAGGGAAAAAUGUAAUGUAAAUUCAGCUCGUACUACUCCUCUUAGCUGUUCAACGCCCUUCAACGAUGCUUCGCCAGUUUGUGUGGGAAAUGGCUAUAUGAAUCCAUCAUGCAAGAAGAACCUUUCGAGAUCAUACCUCAGGAAUGAAAUUAAGAGCUUAAAUGCAUCAGGACCAGAACCUUCUUCAGCAUAUAAGGAUAUGCGGAAGAGGAGAGACAUGAGUGAUAUUUGUGUCUUGUACAGCCACCACUUGGAUGAUGACAUUGUCAAGCAGCAGAAAAAGAUUUUGGCUCGUCUAGGAGCUUCUGCAGUGUCUUCUAUUGCUGAAGCGACACAUUUCAUAACAGAUGAAUUCGUGCGUACAAGAAAUAUGUUAGAAGCAAUUGCUUCUGGAAAACCUGUAGUUACCCAUUUAUGGCUUGAGAGUUGUGGACAAGCUAACUGCUUUCUCGAUGAGAGAAAUUACAUACUAAGAGAUGCUAAGAAAGAGAAGCAAUUCGGCUUUAGUAUGCCUGUUUCAUUGGCACGCGCAUGCCAGCAUCCACUUUUACUGGGCCGAAGAGUUUUGAUCACCCCAAAUGCAAAGCCUGGUAAAGACAUAAUAUCAAGUCUAGUGAAAGCAGUUGGUGGCCAACCGGUAGAGAGAAUUGGAAGAUCUGCUGUGAAAGAUGAUAAAGUAUUGGAUGAUUUGUUGAUUUUAUCCUGUGAAGACGACUACGACAUGUGCCUUCCUUUCCUUGAGAAAGGAGCAGCAGUAUAUAGUUCAGAGCUGCUGCUGAAUGGAAUAGUUACUCAAAAGCUGGAAUACGAAAGGCACCGUCUCUUUGCAGAUCAUGUUAAAAGAACUCGCUCUACAAUUUGGCUGAAAAAAGAUGGUAGCAAUUUUGUUCCUGUAACCAAGCAUAAAUAGAAGGGAUUAUAUUGGAAAACUCUUUUUUGGCCCCGGAUUCCAAGUAAUUGUUCAUGAAAAGAUAGUCCAAUCUACAUACCAUUUGGCAGGUCGUGCUGGAGAGCGACAAUUCGUAAUAACAUGAACAUGACGAACUUAUUGAGAGACCCUCAAAAUUUGACAAGAUACAGACACAAGUUAACUUGAAAUUGAUGUGGACUUGACAUGUUUUGAUGCAUAUUAAUAAAAUAAGCGGUUUAUCCUUGCUUGGGAUGAAAUUUGCUGUUCUGCUUCGGUCUGAUUUGAACCGACGUAACAUCCAAAGCCAUGGCAUGAAUUUCCGACCCUUCUAAUUCUAGGUACGUUCUUGUGAAAGCCCUUCCAAUCUGCUUUUUUUUUUUUUUAAUCAUGAAUUGAAUUUUUACAAAAUUAUUGAACGAUUGCGACGGGAGGUAUGGAACACUUUGGUGCUGUACCGUUGUAGGUCGAAUCGAUUUGCUUCUCAAGGCAUCUAACUUAUCACUUAGUCAUUCAUGGAUGGACUUUAAGGCUAUUUGGCUGAUCCAUCUCGUUCCGUUUAAUCCCAGCGAAAUCCAAUAAAGGCGUUGAUACUUUAUUUUCUCUUCCUUCCUUCUUCUCUUCAGAAUUUCAAAUGAGACUUUGCAAUGUAACUGAAAAUUAUUUGGAGAAUCAAAUUCUUUAGCUAAUACACAAUUUCGCGUAAUAUGCGCCUCAUGAAGUGAAUGCCAUAUGACGCCUGCGCAAGUCCGAGAAACAAA